rnacentral:lncRNA from 1 species
UAUGCUGGUUUAGGAUGAUCAAACCUGGAUGUGACCUGACAUGGGGUUCAUGAUGUUAUUCAUGGGGGUUUCCAUGCUGAAAAAUACAUGCUUGUAGGUGGUUUGUGGUGGAACCAGUUCACCCAGUUCAAGUCUUAAACUUGACAUGAGUCUCACAUUCAGGGAUUUAUUUCACGGUUUAAUCGGUGUUUUUUUUAUUUUAUUUCCUAUAUGUCCACUUAUUUGUGUAAGGAGGGAGUAGACGUGUUCCAUAUAUGUUUUCGAUUUUACUUACAACACGUGUGUUUGGAUGUUGAUAUCGAGGCCCGUAAUUCCGAAAUGGUUUUGCCACCACCGAAUUUCGUUGUUUGGUAUGUCCUCUGAGUUGAUA